GACGAACGCUGGCGGCGUGCUUAACACAUGCGAGUCGAACGGAAAGGCCCUGCUUUUGUGGGGUGCUCGAGUGGCGAACGGGUGAGUAACACGUGAGUAACCUGCCCUUGACUUUGGGAUAACUUCAGGAAACUGGGGCUAAUACCGGAUAGGAGCUCCUGCUGCAUGGUGGGGGUUGGAAAGUUUCGGCGGUUGGGGAUGGACUCGCGGCUUAUCAGCUUGUUGGUGGGGUAGUGGCUUACCAAGGCUUUGACGGGUAGCCGGCCUGAGAGGGUGACCGGCCACAUUGGGAUUGAGAUACGGCCCAGACUCCUACGGGACGCAGCAGUGCGGAAUAUUGCACAAUGGGCGGAAGCCUAAUGCAGCAACGCCGCGUGCGGGAUGACGGCCUUCGGUUUGUAAUCCGCUUUCGCCUGUGACGAAGCGUGAGUGACGGUAAUGGGUAAAGAAGCACCGGCUAACUACGUG
rnacentral:rRNA from 1 species